rnacentral:lncRNA from 14 species
AUCCAGUUGUCUCUUCCUCUUACUACCUGUUGUCUUUGUCAGUGCUAGCCUUAACGUGGCUGUAUGAUGAAUUGAGUCAAACAACUGAUGGGAGCUAAAGUGACAUGGCAAAGGCUAUGUAACACUCUAGUUCAGGACUGUGGAUCUGUUUUGAAUUAACUUAUUCUCGGUGAUGUCAAUAAACUUUGCUUCUGUCCCCUAACACAUGCUACUCUGACUCUAUGUUUGAGUCUUUAUGAACAUGAUGAAUGCAAGAUGCUCAUGCACCCUUUCUGCUAUCUAAUGUCUUCUCAUGAUAGCAACUCCCUUUGCUGGGUUGUUCCAUACAGGAGCUGCACCUGUUUGGGGAGCUCCUUGGGCACUUU